CGAGCAAUGCUGCAUUUAUUGGCAUCGCAGUCUACUGCAUGCACCAGAGUAUAACUGAAGAUAUUAUUGACGUUGGUAUCUAAAGCAUCGCAAUCUUGGAGUUGGAAGAAAGAUUCAUCAAGACUCUGGCUCGAGGAGAGCAGUAUAAUGGGCACCGGUCUCAUGCCUGAUCAUCGAUAACAUUGGAUUUUCGUUAAUACAGUGUUGCUAAGAUGCAGGUUAUACGUAAAAAAAUUGAACAUAAUGGCAAGCAGUUGCAGCAAAGGAUAAUAUUUUCCAGGGGAUUCCAUGGAACAAAAUAGAAGAUUUUUAUUAAUUAGUCCAGCCAAGAUUUGAUUUAGUUGUAGGGCAUUAUUUAUAAAAUUGAUUGUUUAGAAUAUAGCCUUAGUUUAGAGGGACGUGUCAGGUUUCUAAGAGCCUUUCUUCAAUGUGAGUUAUUUUCAUUAUUAUUAAGUUUAGGUUUUCUAGUUCAGUACAAUAUACACAAAUUUUGAAAGUAAAUUGUGCUGAUUCAAUUAAAAAUAUCAAUUAUCUGUUGUCAAAUUUCAUGCGCUUAUUGCGUGUUUAUACAAUUACGUUUAUGUUGUCUUAUUUAUAUACAUGUAAGGGAUAAUGUUCAGAAUUUAACUAUAAGUUUAUAAUGAUAAGGAGAUAUCCCUACAAAACUUGGGGCCUGUGGGCGCGUCGCAUCUAGAUCGUUAUUAAACUAUUUGUAUCAAAAAUCGUUUUUGAGGCUUUGUUUCGAAUCGAAGCAUUUACAAAAUGUAUUUGCCUUGGUAAUAAGUUGUGUUUUAAAAAUAUCUACAACUUUUACAUUUAACAUUUUCAUGUAGAACGUAAAGCUGCAAAGGUUUAUAGCCGCAAUAAUUAGAUGCUAAGCUGUAAAAAAACGAUUUUGGGCUGUUUACUCAAGUUAUAAGCAUUUUCAUGAUUUGAUGUCAACAGGAAAAAGUUGUAUUUUUCAAAAAUCUACAACUUUUCCGUUUAACUUUUUUUCGUAGAAUGCUAAGAAUUCGAGUUAAAGCCAAAAACCCGUUUUUAGCGAUUUUUGGAGGUGACCGCAUUCUGCGUAUUUGUGCAGGAUCAAGCCCAAAAUAAAUUUGGAACCUUACUAUUAUGAGAGGAGUUCGCACACAAAGUUUUAGCCCGAUUGAUUAAAGUCUUUCAGAGAUAAUCGUGUAACACCAAAAUUUUUAUUUAAAAAACACACCAAAAUUGAACAAAUUGUGCCUGCAUUUUAAAAAAACGUAGAGAAUGGGAUACAAAAAAUCGGUUUUUAGGGUUAUGCGAGAGGAGACUCCUCCCAAAAUUUUAGCCCGAUCAGUCGAAAAUUGCGUGAGAUAUCACAUCUCACACAUUUUUCGAUGACAAAACUAUAAGGCACUUCCGUGUCGCGGUCGUGCCUAAUAAACGAGCAAUGAAAAUAAUAUAUUCGGAUAGAAUAUUUUUUCAACAUCUGAUUCGAACUACGGCUUUUCGGUGGGCAUAAAAGAAAACAUAUAUUGUAUGCUUUUAAAACGCUUUUGUGUGAAUAUCUUCUACUUAUACGCACGUAUGUUACAUAAGCAUAGUCGUGACAGCUUGCGGGACUUUUUAGUCCUGUACUGAGACACUUUCACGGUAUUUAUUUUUAAUCAAUAAAUACACUGCAAAUUUUAAAACUAGAUGUUGCGUCCUACACCUUAUAAUACAAUGGAAAUAAAAAAUGUAUCCAAAUAA